CUCAUAAUAAAUGCACUGGUCUGGUGUGCUUCUCCGCCGUGGUGCUCGCUGUCUGAUACGUGCUUCCGGGCCGUCGGAGGUGGGGAGGGCUGAUUCUUGUUUGCCAGCACAUUCCGAUUUCUAUGCUUAUGAGCCUGCAGGCUUUCUGCGACUUGUGGCUCUUGUGCAUAAUCUAUGGGUUUGGUUGCUUCCGCUCGGUCCCGGUCGACGCUAGUGUUGGCUUCGUGUGCUUUCUCCGCUGGUGAUGUUGCCGGAGUGCCUCGCCUGGUAUUUCUGUCAUGUUCUUCGGGCCGGUCUCUGGGGUUCCUCGAUGUGGCACCUAUAUGUGCACCAUCAAUAUCCUC
rnacentral:lncRNA from 1 species